rnacentral:rRNA from 1 species
UGAAUACAAGACGCUAAGGCGUCGAAGUAGUGUAUGACAUACUUCCAAGAAAAGCUUGCACUGUCAUAGAUAAAAAACGCCUGUACCAUAACCGACACAGGUGGGUAGGUAGAGUAUACUAAGGGGCGCGAGAUAACUCUCUCUAAGGAACUCGGCAAAAUAACUCCGUAACUUCGGGAGAAGGAGUGCCUUAUUCGUAAGGUUGCAAUAACAAGAUCCAAGCAACUGUUUAUCAAAAACACAGGUCUCCGCUAAGUCGUAAGACGAUGUAUGGGGGCUGACGCCUGCCCAGUGCCAGAAGGUUAAAGAAGUUGGUUAGCAAUUGCGAAGCUGAUAACUGAAGCCCUGGUGAACGGCGGCCGUAACAAUAACGGUCCUAAGGUAGCGAAAUUCCUUGUCGGGUAAGUUCCGACCCGCACGAAAGGCGUAAUGAUUUGGAUACUGUCUCGGAGAGGGGCUCGGUGAAAUAGACUUGUCUGUGAAGAUGCGGACUACCUGCACCAGGACAGAAAGACCCUAUGAAGCUUUACUGUAACUUGAAAUUGAAAUUGGACUUUAUUCGCGCAGUAUAGGUGGGAGGCGUUGAUUAUAAUCUUGUGGGAUUAUUGGAGCCAUCAGUGAGAUACCACUCUUGUAAUGUUAGAUUUCUAACUUUGAAUCAUUAUCUGGUCAAAGAACAGUUUCAGGCGGGCAGUUUGACUGGGGCGGUCGCCUCCUAAACGGUAACGGAGGCGUACAAAGGUUUCCUCUGAACGGUUAGAAAUCGUAUCUAGAGUGUAAAGGCAUAAGGAAGCUUGACUGUGAGACCUACAAGUCGAGCAGGGACGAAAGUCGGUCUUAGUGAUCUGACGGUACUGAGUGGAAAGGCCGUCACUCAACGGAUAAAAGUUACUCUAGGAUAACAGGCUGAUCUCCCCCAAGAGUUCACAUCGACGGGGAGGUUUGGCACCUCGAUGUCGGCUCAUCGCAUCCUGGGGCGGUAGUACGUCCCAAGGGUUGGGCUGUUCGCCCAUGAAAGCGGUACGCGAGCUGGGUUCAGAACGUCGUGAGACAGUUCGGUCCAUAUCCGGUGUAGGCGUUAGAAUAUUGAGAGGAGCCUUCUUUAGUACGAGAGGACCGAGAAGGACAUACCUCUGGUGUACCAGUUAUCGUGCCAACGGUAAACGCUGGGUAGCUAUGUAUGGAGUGGAUAACCGCUGAAAGCAUCUAAGUGGGAAGCCCACCUCAAGAUAAGUAUUCUCAU